rnacentral:rRNA from 1 species
GACGAACGCUGGCGGCAUGCUUAACACAUGCAAGUGGAGCGACGAACCUUUUAGGGGCAAAGCCGCGAACGGGUGAGUAACACGUGGGCAAUCUGCCCAGUUGACUGGAAUAACUCGAGGAAACUCGAGCUAAUACCGGAUGUGCUUGCUUCUCACAAGAGGAGUAAGUAAAGGGAGCUUCGGCUAUCCGCAAUUGGAGGAGCCUGCGGCGCAUUAGCUUGUUGGUGGGUAACGGCCUACCAAGGCAUCGAUGCGUAGCUGGUCUGAGAGGACGAUCAGCCACACUGGAACUGAGACACGAUCCAGACUCCUACGGGAGGCAGCAGUGGGGAAUCUUGCACAAUGGGCGACAGCCUGAUGCAGCAAUGCCGCGUGAGGGAAGACGGCC